rnacentral:lncRNA from 1 species
UCAGAGUGGGAGGCAACUGGAUAAGAGUUUUAGCCAGUGAGACAAGGUCGUGGACAUUUUUUGCACCUCGCACACUUACUGUGAUGUGCUACGCAAACUGGGAGGUAGGCCGGGGAUCCCAGAAGGACAGUUUUUGAAUUUGACAUACAUUCUGCGAUUUCAGUUCUCGCCAGUAUGCCAUCUUAAUGUCAUUAAUACCACACGUCAUCAUUUCCCAUUCCCAUACAUUCAGAGGGAUUAAUUCUAUUGUUUCUUAUUUUUCUUUCAUUUUAUAGCGAAAAUGUCCUGAGCACCUCUUUUGGGUCCUUUGAAGUGUAAUAGCAAUUUUAAUCAAAUGGUUAUUACUGACAUUCAUUGGAAGCUUACAGAUGAAGGAACUGAGGCUCAGAACUGGGAAUUCAAAGGAGGAUUCCACAGGACUUAUGUCACCACAGGAAGGAGCAUGAGGGACUCUUAGGGGAAAUGGACUUGUGUCUACUGAUAUUUAGGCAGCCAUGGGUUUGAAGAACAGGAGCAUUUGGCAUUGAAUUUGUCCAGAAUGAAACAAAGGCAUCAUCCUGGAUCAUGAAGAAAGUAACACAAGAGGAUAGAAAUUUUUUAGAACCAACAAAUGAAAAUGGCUCAGAGGCCCUGGACUUAAGGAAAGGAGAUGAUCAAGGAGAUAAUGGCAAAGGUGGGCGAUAGCUGCCAUGGAACAGGUGUAGAAAAAGCCUGGAAGAGGAGUAUCCUCAAAUAUUACACACAGGUGUUUCACACAGUUAUUUGCAGCAAUGCAUUGUCCCUGGGGAAAUUGACAUAGCCCAAUAAAAGGUAACAGUAACAUCA